rnacentral:rRNA from 1 species
AUUGAACGCUGGCGGCAUGCCUAACACAUGCAAGUCGAACGGCAGCGCGUUUGUGGUAACACAGAUGGCGGCGAGUGGCGGACGGGUGAGUAAUAUGUAGGAAUCUGCCUUGAGGAUGGGGAUAACUUAGGGAAACUUAAGCUAAUACCAAAUAAGCCCUACGGGGGAAAGCAGGGGACCGCAAGGCCUUGCGCCUUAAGAUGAGCCUACAUCGGAUUAGCUUGUUGGUGGGGUAAAGGCCUACCAAGGCGACGAUCCGUAGCUGGUCUGAGAGGAUGGUCAGCCACACUGGGACUGAGACACGGCCCAGACUCCUACGGGAGGCAGCAGUGGGGAAUAUUGGACAAUGGGGGAAACCCUGAUCCAGCAAUGCCGCGUGUGUGAAGAAGGCCUUCGGGUUGUAAAGCACUUUCAGUGGGGAGGAAGGGGUUAAUGUUAAUACCAUUAAUCAUUGACGUUACCUACAGAAGAAGCACCGGCUAACUCUGUGCCAGCCGCCGCCGUAA